UACGUAGGGUGCAAGCGUUGUCCGGAAUUAUUGGGCGUAAAGAGCUCGUAGGCGGUUUGUCGCGUCGGCUGUGAAAACUCGGGGCUCAACCCCGAGCCUGCAGUCGAUACUGUCAGGCUAGAGGUAGGUAGGGGAGAUCGGAAUUCCUGGUGUAGCGGUGAAAUGCGCAGAUAUCAGGAGGAACACCGGUGGCGAAGGCGGAUCUCUGGGCCUUACCUGACGCUCAGGCGCGAAAGCUAGGGGAGCGAACAGG
rnacentral:rRNA from 1 species